rnacentral:rRNA from 1 species
UGCGACCCCAGGUCAGGCGGGGCUACCCGCUGAG